GGCGUGCUAUACAUGCAGUCGAGCGGACCGACGGGAGCUUGCUCCCUUAGGUCAGCGGCGGACGGGUGAGUAACACGUGGGUAACCUGCCUGUAAGACUGGGAUAACUCCGGGAAACCGGGGCUAAUACCGGAUGCUUGAUUGAACCGCAUGGUUCAAUUAUAAAAGGUGGCUUUUAGCUACCACUUACAGAUGGACCCGCGGCGCAUUAGCUAGUUGGUGAGGUAACGGCUCACCAAGGCGACGAUGCGUAGCCGACCUGAGAGGGUGAUCGGCCACACUGGGACUGAGACACGGCCCAGACUCCUACGGGAGGCAGCAGUAGGGAAUCUUCCGCAAUGGACGAAAGUCUGACGGAGCAACGCCGCGUGAGUGAUGAAGGUUUUCGGAUCGUAAAACUCUGUUGUUAGGGAAGAACAAGUACCGUUCGAAUAGGGCGGUACCUUGACGGUACCUAACCAGAAAGCCACGGCUAACUACGUGCCAGCAGCCGCGGUAAUACGUAGGUGGCAAGCGUUGUCCGGAAUUAUUGGGCGUAAAGCGCGCGCAGGCGGUUUCUUAAGUCUGAUGUGAAAGCCCCCGGCUCAACCGGGGAGGGUCAUUGGAAACUGGGGAACUUGAGUGCAGAAGAGGAGAGUGGAAUUCCACGUGUAGCGGUGAAAUGCGUAGAGAUGUGGAGGAACACCAGUGGCGAAGGCGACUCUCUGGUCUGUAACUGACGCUGAGGCGCGAAAGCGUGGGGAGCGAACAGGAUUAGAUACCCUGGUAGUCCACGCCGUAAACGAUGAGUGCUAAGUGUUAGAGGGUUUCCGCCCUUUAGUGCUGCAGCAAACGCAUUAAGCACUCCGCCUGGGGAGUACGGUCGCAAGACUGAAACUC
rnacentral:rRNA from 1 species